AGUUCACAAAUGGUAGGCCUGAU
rnacentral:piRNA from 1 species